rnacentral:tRNA from 1 species
GCAUGUGUGGCCGAGCGGUCGAAGGCACUGGUCUGCAAAACCAGCGACGAAAGUCCACGCGAGUUCGAAUCUCGCUACAUGCUCCA